rnacentral:rRNA from 1 species
GAUGAACGCUAGCUACAGGCUUAACACAUGCAAGUCGAGGGGCAGCACAGUGUAGCAAUACACGGGUGGCGACCGGCGCACGGGUGCGUAACGCGUAUCCAACCUUCCCGUUACUCUCGGAUAGCCUUCCGAAAGGGAGAUUAAUACGAGAUGGUGUUGAAAUUCCGCAUGUUAUUUCAACUAAAGAUUCAUCGGUAACGGAUGGGGAUGCGUGACAUUAGGUAGAUGGCGGGGUAACGGCCCACCAUGCCCACCGAUGUCUAGGGGUUCUGAGAGGAAGGUCCCCCACCACUGGAACUGAGACACGGUCCAGACUCCUACGGGAGGCAGCAGUGAGGAAUAUUGGUCAAUGGCCGGAAGGCUGAACCAGCCAAGUAGCGUGAAGGAUGAAGGUU